rnacentral:misc_RNA from 1 species
GUGGUCAACGAGAGUCUCAUUUUCAUUGACCAGAUUAGCGGCUAAGCAGAAAGGACAGAGCUCCGCGAAGCAUCAAACUCUCUCGCUGUCUCUCUUUUAUUUCCCUCGCCUGUGAAACCCAGGGCCUAGGAGAAAGGCAUUAGACAUCCAUUUCUCGGGCCAUGUUACUGCACCUUCUCAGAUCCGGAUAGUAUCAAUUUGCAUAUCUAUCCGAUCCGAAUCCGAGUCAGAAUCAGCCAUGACUAGGCGGUGCUCUCAUUGCAGCCACAAUGGGCACAAUUCGAGGACCUGCUCUAACCGCGGGGUCAAGCUCUUUGGGGUCCGAUUGACAGACGGGUCGAUCCGCAAAAGUGCUAGUAUGGGCAAUUUAAGCCAUUAUACAGGGUCUCCCAACCCGGAUGGGGCCCACGCUUCCCCCGGCGAGACACCCGACCACGGAGACGCUGCUGACGGCUACGCUUCCGAGGAUUUCGUUCCUGGGUCUUCUUUGAGCCGUGAGCGAAAGAAAGGUGUUCCAUGGACUGAAGAGGAACAUAGGAUGUUUCUACUUGGCCUGCAGAAGCUUGGCAGAGGUGAUUGGCGUGGGAUUGCACGCAAUUAUGUUAUAUCAAGGACACCUACUCAGGUGGCCAGUCAUGCACAAAAAUAUUUCAUCAGGCAAAGCAAUGUUUCCAGGAGAAAAAGGCGGUCCAGCCUGUUCGAUAUAGUAGCUGAUGAACCAGUUGACAUUCCAAUGGCAUCACAAGAAUUCUUGACUGUCAACCAUCCCCUGACAGAAACUCCAAGUGAUAAUCCUGAUCCUUUACCUGCUCCUCCUCCUUUGGAUGAAGAAUGUGAAUCAAUGGAUUCUACCAACUCCAAUGAGGCAGAAGCUGUUCCUCCAAAGCCAGGUAGCUCACAGUCCUUCUACCCAGUUAUAUGCCCAGCUUAUUUCCCACCAUUCUUCCCAUUUUCGUUCCCACUUUGGUCAGGAUAUGGUGCGGAGCCAAGUAAGGAGACACAUGGGGUUCUCAAGCCGACAGCAGUACAUUCGAAAAGCCCAAUCAACGUUGAUGAGCUGGUUGGCAUGUCAAAACUGAGUUUAGGAGAAUCUAUUGGUGAUGCUGGGCCCUCUUCUCUUUCCCUAAAAUUGCUUGGAGGAUCAUCCAGACAAUCUGCUUUUCAUCCUAAUACGGGCUCUGAUGCUUCAAACAUGAAUUCAGGCAGCAGUCCAAUACAUGCAGUCUAAAGGCAGCUUUGGCGGAAAUGAGAUUGUAGGUUUUU